UUGACCUCGGAUCAGGUAGGGAUACCCGCUGAACUUAAGCAUAUCAAUAAGCGGAGGAAAAGAAACCAACAGGGAUUGCCUCAGUAACGGCGAGUGAAGCGGCAACAGCUCAAAUUUGAAAUCUGGUCCUUUCAGGGCCCGAGUUGUAAUUUGUAGAAGAUGCUUCGGGCGUGGCUCCGGUSUAAGUUCCCUGGAACGGGACGUCAUAGAGGGUGAGAAUMCCGUAUGUGACUGGCUGCCUCCGCCCAUGUGAAGCUCUUUCGMCGAGUCGAGUUGUUUGGGAAUGCAGCUCAAAAUGGGUGGUAAAUUUCAUCUAAAGCUAAAUAUUGGCCAGAGACCGAUAGCGCACAAGUAGAGUGAUCGAAAGAUGAAAAGCACUUUGGAAAGAGAGUUAAACAGUACGUGAAAUUGUUGAAAGGGAAGCGCUUGCAAUCAGACUUGCGCGCGGCCGAUCAUCCGGGGUUCUCCCCGGUGCACUCGGCCGCGCUCAGGCCAGCAUCGGUUUCGGUGGCGGGAUAAAGGCCUUGGGAAUGUGGCUCCUCUCGGGGAGUGUUAUAGCCCUCGGUGCAAUGCCGCCUACCGGGACCGAGGACCGCGCUUCGGCU
rnacentral:rRNA from 1 species